rnacentral:lncRNA from 1 species
CAAAGUAUGGGAAUCUCUUACUUUGUUUUCUUUUUUCUACUUUCUUUGUGCUCCCUCCAUCUGCAAAAGAAUAUGUUUUUAUUUACUAUCUUACAGAACCAAGUGCCAACUUGGUAUUUUCUUAUCUCCCUUGUCUAAAUAAUCUCAAAUGCACAAACCCAGCAGCAGAUCUAUGAAACAUGCGCAACUAAUACACGUUUUAGACGUGAGAUAAUGCCAGCCCAGGGGGCGGCUUCUUGGUUCGUGG